rnacentral:rRNA from 1 species
GACGAACGCUGGCGGCGUGCCUAAUACAUGCAAGUUGAGCGCUGAAGGUUGGUACUUGUACCAACUGGAUGAGCAGCGAACGGGUGAGUAACGCGUGGGGGAUCUGCCUUUGAGCGGGGGACAACAUUUGGAAACGAAUGCUAAUACCGCAUAAAAACUUUAAACACAAGUUUUAAGUUUGAAAGAUGCAAUUGCAUCACUCAAAGAUGAUCCCGCGUUGUAUUAGCUAGUUGGUGAGGUAAAGGCUCACCAAGGCGAUGAUACAUAGCCGACCUGAGAGGGUGAUCGGCCACAUUGGGACUGAGACACGGCCCAAACUCCUACGGGAGGCAGCAGUAGGGAAUCUUCGGCAAUGGACGAAAGUCUGACCGAGCAACGCCGCGUGAGUGAAGAAGGUUUUCGGAUCGUAAAACUCUGUUGGUAGAGAAGAACGUUGGUGGGAGUGGAAAGCUCAUCAAGUGACGGUAACUACCCAGAAGGGGACGGCUAACUACGUG